rnacentral:lncRNA from 1 species
AAAAAAUUAAUCAACGUGUGGUUCGUUUGAUCUCAGUUCUUCAUUGGUUAAAAUCCGAUUAUGAAGUCGAAUUUUCUUGUUUUCCUCUGAAUUUCCUAUUGUGACGACAUGAAAAAAGGCGACCAUGCCUGAUGACGUCACAUAGAAAGAUCUAGAACACAUCUUUUUGCAGAUCAGUCGCAAAGAAGGAAUAAGUUUGCCUGCGUAUUGUUUGAAAAU